rnacentral:misc_RNA from 1 species
AAGUCGUAACAAGGUUUCCGUAGGUGAGUAAAGAUCCCAUCUUUUUAUUAUUCUGUUUUUUUUUUGAUACCGUUACUGACUAUGAUUUUAUAGGUGAACCUGCGGAAGGAUCAUUACUGAGUUAGGGCCCUCUGGGCCCGAACCUCCAACCCUUAUGUUUACCAAACCAUGUUGCUUCGGCGGGCCCGUCCUCUCUCGAGAGGGCCGCCGGAGGGGGUCACACCCUUCUGGCCCGUUGCCCGUCGACAGCCAUCAAACCAAAAUUCUUGAUUAAAACCAUGUCGUCUGAGUCUGAAUUUAUAAUUAAAUCAAAACUUUCAACAACGGAUCUCUUGGUUCUG